UACGAAGGGGGCUAGCGUUGCUCGGAAUCACUGGGCGUAAAGCGCACGUAGGCGGACUCUUAAGUCGGGGGUGAAAUCCUGGAGCUCAACUCCAGAACUGCCUUCGAUACUGAGAGUCUUCGAGUUCGGGAGAGGUGAGUGGAACUGCGAGUGUAGAGGUGAAAUUCGUAGAUAUUCGCAAGAACACCAGUGGCGAAGGCGGCUCACUGGCCCGAUACUGACGCUGAGGAGCGAAAGCGUGGGGAGCGAACAGG
rnacentral:rRNA from 1 species